rnacentral:rRNA from 1 species
UACGUAGGGUGCAAGCGUUAAUCGGAAUUACUGGGCGUAAAGCGCGCGUAGGCGGCUUUGCAAGUCGGGUGUGAAAUCCCCAAGCUUAACUUGGGAACUGCAUUCGAGACUGCAUUGCUAGAGUAUGGGAGAGGGAAGUGGAAUUUCCGGUGUAGCGGUGAAAUGCGUAGAUAUCGGAAGGAACAUCAGUGGCGAAAGCGACUUCCUGGACCAAUACUGACGCUCAUGUGCGAAAGCGUGGGGAGCAAACAGG